GAUGAAGAACGCAGCGAAAUGCGAUAAGUAAUGUGAAUUGCAGAAUUCAGUGAAUCAUCGAAUCUUUGAACGCACAUUGCGCCCGCCAGUAUACUGGCGGGCAUGCCUGUUCGAGCGUCAUUUCAACCAUCAAGCCCCCGGCUUGUGUUGGGGACCUGCGGCUGCCGCAGGCCCUGAAAACCAGUGGCGGGCUCGCUAGUCACUCCGAGCGUAGUAAUACAUCUCGCUCAGGGCGUGCUGCGGGUUCCGGCCGUUAAAAAGCCUUAUUUACCCAAGGUUGACCUCGGAUCAGGUAGGAAGACCCGCUGAACUUAAGCAUAUCAAUAAGCGGAGGA
rnacentral:misc_RNA from 1 species